CUGAUAGCAUUGGAAAGUGUCCUUCAUCUAAAGAACUGGUACAAUGCAGGCAGCACACAGUCUCCCUUAUUAUCUAACGGGGCUUGAACACUCCUGUAAAGUCACCUCUGAACGCUCAGAGGACAGUUCAGUCUCCAUGCCCCUUCAGUCUUUUGCCUCU
rnacentral:sRNA from 1 species